rnacentral:snRNA from 1 species
AAACAAUGUGUUUUACAAUUCG